CACGUAGGGGACGAGCGUUGUCCGGAUUCAUUGGGCGUAAAGAGCGUGUAGGCGGCCAGGUAGGUCUGCUGUGAAAACUCGAGGCUCAACCUCGAGACGUCGGCGGAAACCAUCUGGCUAGAGUCCGGAAGAGGAGAGUGGAAUUCCUGGUGUAGCGGUGAAAUGCGCAGAUAUCAGGAAGAACACCCGUGGCGAAGGCGGCUCUCUGGGACGGUACUGACGCUGAGACGCGAAAGCGUGGGGAGCGAACAGG
rnacentral:rRNA from 1 species